rnacentral:lncRNA from 1 species
GGAAAUUCCACCCGCAUUCAACGCCCCGGGCUCAGCCGCGGCUGCGCCCGGAAUCCGGGGCCUCUCCUUCGUGACCCCGGAGUGGGCAAGUGACGAGGGCACGGCCAGAAACGCAUUGGCGUCAAGGAAACCACGACCCAUCUUCCUGGAAGGAAACUUGGGGACACUUAUGAAGAGAAGACUAGGAAGGACCGGAGUAGAAGCACUAAAGGAGGAACCAUGUGGAAGGGAUAUAAAUAUCCCCCAGGAGGGACUCCAGUGGAAGUAAGCAAGGAUGAUCCUGGUGAAGUAAUGCAGCUGUGAAGCUCACCUGACCAGCUGUACAGUUCCUGUUGUUGGUUUCACAUAAAGUAAUUGCACAUUAUUUUGUCAUAUUUUAUGUUAAGAAGUUACCG